UACAGAGGGGGCAAGCGUUGUUCGGAAUUACUGGGCGUAAAGGGCGCGUAGGCGGCCUGCUAAGUCGAACGUGAAAUCCCCGAGCUCAACUCGGGAACUGCGUCCGAUACUGGCAGGCUUGAAUCCGGGAGAGGGAUGUGGAAUUCCAGGUGUAGCGGUGAAAUGCGUAGAUAUCUGGAGGAACACCGGUGGCGAAGGCGACAUCCUGGACCGGUAUUGACGCUGAGGCGCGAAAGCCAGGGGAGCAAACGGGAUUAGAAACCCCCGUAGUCC
rnacentral:rRNA from 1 species